rnacentral:rRNA from 1 species
GACUAGCAACCCAAGUGGUGGUCACGUUUAUUUGGCUUAAAGCGUCCGUAGUCAGGCCAGUAAGUUUUCUGUGAAAUCCUAACGCUUAACGCUAGGGCUUGCAGAGAAUACUGUUGGUCUUGGAGCCGGGAGAGGUUGGGGGAAUUCAUAGGGUAGCGGCGAAAUGCUAUAAUCCUGUGAGGACCACCGACAGCGAAGGCACCCAACUAGAACGGGCUCGACGAUGAGGGACGAGAGCUAGGGGAGCAAACCGG